rnacentral:tRNA from 1 species
GCCACGGUGGUAUAGCGUUUAUAACGCUGGCCUUGUAAUCCUGGGGUCUCGGGUUCGAUUCCCGGCGGUGCCC